GGUAACUUGUGGACAUGAAGACUGUAACAGCUCAUAUAGUGUGUGUUGUCUGAUGUAGCUUCUUCUCUUGUAUUUGAUGAGAUCUGAGCUUUAAUAUCAGCACUACAUUU